ensembl:lncRNA
CGCGCAAACACACACUAGAUGCAAACAUAUUAGAACAUUUAAUGAUGCGUACAGACACACACACAUGCUUUUAUACACAAACACACACACACACACUUAUAGAGACGUAUACACACAUAUGUAGAUGGGCAAUCACACACACUUAUAGACGCACGCAUAGAGAACAUUUAAUGAUGCGUACUGACACACACACACUUAUAGACACAUAUACACACAUACACAUUUAUAGAUGUGCAAACACGCAUACUAUAGAUGCAUACAUAUUGAACAAUUAAUGAUGCAUACAGACACACGCACAUACUUUUGUACACAAACACACACACACACACACACACUUAUAGAGACGUAUGCACACAUAUAGACACAUUUGUAGAUGCGCAAUCACACACACUUAUAGACGCACACAUAGAGAACAUUUAAUGAUGCGUACUGACACACACACACUUUUAGACACAUAUACAGACAUACACAUUUAUAGAUGUGCAAACACGCAUACUAUAGAUGCAAACCUAUUGAACAUUUAAUGAUGCAUACAGACACAAACACACAUACUUUUAUGCACAAACACACACACACACACUUAUCGACACGUAUACACAUGCAUGCACAUUUGUAGAUGCGCAAACACACACACUUGUAGACGCACACAUAGAGAACAUUUAAUAAUGCGUACUGACACACACACUUAUAGACACGCAUGCACAUACACAUUUGUAGAUGCGCAAACACACACACUUAUAGACGCACACAUGUAGAACAUUUAAUGAUGCGUACAGACACACACUCGCCACUCAUGACCCCACCCAUGCCCAUAAUAUGAGCUGAUAGGUAGGAACCAAUGAGAAGUCUCUUAUUUGUUGCCUCUGGUGCCUCAACCAACCUUGAGACAUUUGCACUUUUUAUUUUUCUUAUUCUGUUCAUGAUUUCCUUGUUUUAGUGAUGUGUGUGUGUGUGCGUGUGUGUCUGUGUGUGUGUGACAGAGGGAGGGAGCUGGAACGUGUAACAGCUGAGUCCGUUUUCUGGCCUCUAUCUCCCACAGGGCUCACAACCACUGUCCUGUCUCUCACACAAACAUCCACACAGCCACACGCACACACACACACACACACACACACACACACACACACACACACACACACACACACACACACACACACACACACACACACACACACACACCCACACACUCACACUUUGACAAAACAUUUAUGCCUCUAAUUUCUACAUACAACGCUACGUAUACACACUCUGCAAGAUCUGCAAGAACCGGCACACACUGCUAUUGUUGCACGCAGACACGCAGGCACCAACACAUACCCCCCCAACCCCCAACACACCAACACACCAACACCCCAACAGUCGUACUACACUUGGGACUGUUUUGCCCCCAGAAUGCUACUAGUCGCCACUAAGCCGUAGUGCUGGGUGACGGUGGACUGGUUUCUGUUCUACUGGUGGGCUGUUUGACGGCUCCCCGGGUUCGUGUGGGAACACGACCGCCGUUUGUUUUUCACUGCGGAGGGCCCAAGAGGCGUCACAAGAAAGAGAGUCGAAAUACGACGACCAGAAAGGGAAAUAAGGGCGAUAACCCUCCAGCCAAACAACUCUGUUAGAUCUGAUGCGCCGAUGUGUGCAUGGAGACAGAGCUGCAGACAGACAGGGUGCAAGAGACAGAGAGAGACAGAGAGAGAGAGAGAGAGAGAGAGAGAGAGAGAGAGAGACAGAAUGGCG